UACUCUCACACUCUCUAAUUAGUUAGAGAGCGGUGGAUUUGGAUGCUGCCUGAUACUUACUGUCAGGCUCAUCUUAAAUAAAUUAGUGCGACUCUUAGUUAAACAUAGUACGGCGUGAUAAAUAACCCUCGCUGUUUCUGUCUGAUUAGGAGCUCUGUGCUUCAAACCGUCUCAGGACAAUAUUUGAUA
rnacentral:misc_RNA from 1 species